UACGUAGGUGGCAAGCGUUGUUCGGAUUCAUUGGGCGUAAAGGGUGUGUAGGUGGCGCCGUAAGUCGGGUGUGAAAUUUCGAGGCUUAACCUCGAAACUGCAUUCGAUACUGCGGUGCUUGAGGACUGGAGAGGAGACUGGAAUUCAUGGUGUAGCAGUGAAAUGCGUAGAGAUCAUGAGGAAGACCAGUGGCGAAGGCGGGUCUCUGGACAGUUCCUGACACUGAGGCACGAAGGCCAGGGGAGCAAACGGG
rnacentral:rRNA from 1 species